GCCACUGUGGUGAAAUUGGCAGACACGAGGGACUUAAAAUCCCUUUCUGGCGACAGAGUGCGGGUUCAAGCCCCGCCGGUGGCA
rnacentral:tRNA from 5 species